UUUAUUACAUACAUUUUAACAUACAUCAUAUUGAUAUAUAUUACAUCUAUUUUUCAGUGAUAAUUAAAUAACUUACUAUAUACUAUAAAUCAAAAAAUAUAGUUCCUGAAUUUCAAGCACUUUUGUUAUUAUAAUGUGUGAGAUGAACCAGAAUAAUCAAACAUCAUUGAUGUAGAUCUUAAUGAGAAGUAAACAGUCAGCAUUUCUAUUAUGAAGUGUGAAUUUAGAGAAUUAAGGGGAUAAAUUCCAGCAUUGAUUGGAUUCUUGUAUCUUUAGAAUUAAAGAGGUAGUACACAUAAUCAGAAAACCAAUUUUGAUGUUCAUCUCAGUGAGAGGGGUGUGUAGUAAAACAGAAACCUAGUUAACAAUCAUGUUUUUCUAGGGAUAAAUUUGUGUGUAGGUGUCUUAAUCAUGCGAAGAUCAUCAAAAACUACAGAGGUUAGCAGAAACAGAUACAUUAGUUGCCUAUUUUAACCAUUGAAACAAUGUUUUUUAAUGUUCAGAAGAGGAUUUUUAAAUUUUUUCAAGAUAUGGAUCUUGAUUAUUGAUCUUUCUAUUGAUUUUGAAAGAUUUUUGUCUACAAAACUUGUUUUAUUAAUAGUGCUCAUAUUUUUUAUUAAUCAAAGAUCUAUUUGUUAGAAUUUAUAAGGUGCAUUAAAUAACAAAUUUUGUCACUGAAUCAAAAUAAUUUCAGUCCGAGUGAAAUUUUCCCUUUCGGGGCAGCCUCUGUAGUCUUGUUUUGGUAAAUAUAUGAUUUCAACAAAUCUUUUUGAAAAACUGAAAACAGCUCAUGAACCGUUUUUACUAACCUAUCUUCAUGGACCCUACUUGGAGAAUCAAUCUAUUAAGGAGCAAAAUGUCUAUUUCUACAUUCUCUUUUUUAAAAUUCCAUCUUAAUUUUUUCUCCUUCCUAUUUUCUUCUUAUGGGCCCUCAUUUAUCUAUUUCUCUUCUUUCUUCUCUUCUUCUAACCCAACUUCUACUCCUCAACUCCUUUCCUUUUUCCUUAUCGUGUAACGGGAAACUUUUUCUUCUCUUGUUCUAUUUCUUCCAUGCUUAGAUUCACAUCUCCUGCUAUGCUUUGUUUUCCAUAGGGAAUUUGUUCCUCUUGGGUUCAUUCAUUCUUUUAGAGAAAAUUGUAGACAGAAUAAGUAAAAUAUUAAUUAUCUGGCUAUGUAGUGAUGCACAAAUGUAAGAUGUGUGAACAUUUCACAACUGCAGCAUGUAGUUAUCCAUUGCUGAUGGCAAUAAGGCACAGUCUCUUUGGUAUAAGAUUCUUGUGUUCAAGAUGCAGCAUCAGUAAAUUCUUGAAUUUUUCAUUGUUUGGCAUCCCUGUGA
rnacentral:lncRNA from 1 species